UGGAACUAGUUUUGCAGAGAGGUUUUGCUGCCUCAGCUCUUUGGAGGAAGGUGGCUACAAUUCAAAUUCUUCUAAAGAUAAAUUUUUAAGAAAAUAAGACAAAAGCUUAGUGAUGGUUGAGCCCUUUGUAUCAGAAAAUCUCUAAGCAGCUAAGUUACAUUGAGAGGGUUGGAUAAGGGACUCUGUUACUAGAAACGCUUUUUAAGGGAGAAGAAGUCUUCCAAUCUGGCUUCAAUAUCAUGCUCAUGUGGAUAUUAAUAUCCUUGGAAUUAAUAGCUUUCCCCCCUGGAAAAUGUGAAACGGCAACAUCUUAAAAUGGCCGAUAUGUGUUAGGUAGCUGUUUCUAAUUUUGCUUUAAAGAAGUGUCUGUAGUGCCUAGCUCCUGUUACAGACUAAUGACCUUCCAAAUAUCACUUUUAACAAGUUUAGACUUUAAGUUACAAGAGCACAAAGCAGCGCAAGAGUCAAGUUGAAGGAUGAGAAGUUUGCACCUGCUGCUCUGCUCUGCACCCUUAAUUAUAUGAGGACAGAUGUGCUUGCUCAGUCUCUGUACAUUACUGCUGGCGGUGGAUCUGCCAAGGCUCUGGCAAAACUUGCAAAGGAAUUAGUGCUCUCAGGGCCAUAAAGUAGAGGCACCUUUCUAUUUUUACUUCAUAGCAAAGACUUCUCUGGACGUGAUAUGGUGCUAAUUCACUCUUACAAUCAAGGGUUGCAACUAAUUCAUCCUUUUGCUUAAUCACAGCGAUCAGAGGUGGAAGAAAGCAAUACAUGAGUGUUCCAGCUGCUUUGCACAUCCACCAGUACUUGGUAGUGUCAGUUUUUGUAAAUUAUAACCAUUCUAAAAGGCAAAGGAGCUUUGAAUUUGUGAUGAUAAAACUUGAAAAAGAAUUUGUAAUCUGCCACAUUCUACUGCUCGAAACUCCCAGAGAAACCACGUAGCACAUCUGACUUAUCCUCCAACAAGGACUGCCCUCUGAUGUGUCUGAAAGAAAGGUGACAAUCAUAUUCAGACUCUUCAUGGACUGGCCCUCUAUUUGGACAACUGCAUAAUAUCUAGAUCUUUGAUACCCUGUCUGGGGACAAAAUUUUGUCAGCUGUGCAGGAACCAGGUUAUCCUGGAAUACAGUGAAAUAAACCAUAAAACAGUUCUUUUUGUUUGUCAGGCAGAGCAAAAUGGCAUUGCUUCCUUUAAAUCUGGUUUGUUUUCCUUUUCUCUUACCUAACCAGCUCUUCAACCUGGCUCUCCAACCUGGGGCUGGAACUGAUUGGAACUUUAAAAUGCUUUGUUACCGUCUGUUCUUUUUUCAGUAAGCACAAUGGUUUACUCCCUUUUGAGGCAGGGUCCCGUGUAAUGAGUCGAUGCUUCUGUUAACUCUAAGAACCCUUAAUUAUUUCCACCAUUUUCUCCAUGUGUUUCCUUCGCUGACUGUGUGAAUCACAGGCAGGCUGCUGGUUGUCAGAGACUGAAAAAGUCACUGGCCUUCCUUGGCAAGGAACUGAAUUCUGCAGCGUCUGUAUUCAUGGACAGAGUAUCCUGUCUCAGAGUUUGUGCAGCACCUUCUGUUUUUAGUUUACUGGUGAUCGGGGCACAUCACAAGAACUUGGAGUGCAGCUAAAGCCAAAUCAGACUUGACAGAAAAUUAUUAGCAGGGUACAGAAGGAAAAAAGAUCCCCCUUCCUCUCUGUAAUCAGGUUAAUAUGUGCAUGGAAUGUUUCACUUAAAAAGGUAGUGUGUUUUGGCAAAGCUGGUUUCUUAAGUAGAAUUUCAGUUCCCAUUAUGCGAGGCUAUCCAUUGCUGCUCUGGCAGAGCCUUUGAUCAGUGAACUCAGUGGGGGAGAAGGGCAUAGGCAUAUUAAUAACUUCAACAUGUGGCCCUUCGGCCCAGCUGUACCCUAGUCUUGGAAAAAGGCCAACUGGAAAGGGUUUUCUUAACACCACCUAUGCAUGCAUAUUUUGGAAAGGGGUAAAAGGAAGAUAGGGGUUCAAAGGAGGAAAUAAAAUCUGGUUUUAUGGUAGUUAUUUCUCUUGUCCCUGUUCCCUAUUUGGAGCAUUCUGCUACUACAUAUUUGGAUCCUAUGCACUCAGGCUCCAUCCUCAACUUUUACUAUCUUUGUUCCUUCUGCUGUAAUGUUAUAAAGAUUAAAGCUACUGGUUUAAUUUACAUACCAGCUCAGGACAAGGUUAGGGAGAGGCAGAAGGCUCCAUAAGAGUCUAUAGGGAUGAGAGAUUAAUGGGAACCAGGUGCCUGAAAUAGGAGCCCAGGGUCCAUUUUGCCAGGACUGUAUCUUUUGCCCUUUACCCCCUGCAUAGGUAUUUUUGACUGUUUUAUUUUAACAAUCAUAGGCUUUAGGCCUCAUGAAAUUACUGCCACAGACUAGAGCCCAGCCUGCCCUUUUAGUGUGUGUUUCCUUGUAUUAUUUCAUACCAUCCUCCUUUCAUUUUCUUCUUCUGGGUUGUUCAUUUGCCGUGUCUCCCUGUGAAAAGUUUCCCAAGUGACUCUACAUCAUAGCCAUGGAAAGCAGACUUAGCUCAGCAAAAGUGGCUUUUCAACAAUGACCUCAGUAGACAUUUGUUCUCUCUCUCUCCUCCUCUUCCUCCUUCAAUUUUAUGAUAUUGUUAUCAUUUCCUUGAUUCAAAUCUUCUAUGCUU
ensembl:lncRNA